UACGUAGGGGGCAAGCGUUAUCCGGAAUUACUGGGUGUAAAGGGAGCGUAGGCGGCAUGGUAAGCCAGAUGUGAAAGCCUUGGGCUUAACCCGAGGAUUGCAUUUGGAACUAUCAAGCUAGAGUACAGGAGAGGAAAGCGGAAUUCCUAGUGUAGCGGUGAAAUGCGUAGAGAUUAGGAAGAACACCAGUGGCGAAGGCGGCUUUCUGGACUGAAACUGACGCUGAGGCUCGAAAGCGUGGGGAGCAAACAGG
rnacentral:rRNA from 1 species